CAGAAAACUUGGCUGUUUAUUCUCCCAGGUUGGUAGUAAAACUAGAAGUUAGGAAUGAGUCCAAGGGUUGGAAACGAAGUUGUGUCUAGAGGCAGGUACACUGGCAUUCUGUUCUCCAUUUUUUUCCCUUCAUCAAGGGCAGAGGAGUGGAAGGUGAGGAAGAAGGUUAGUUAAUGCCUUCUAGUGAAACCAAUGAAGAGAGGGAUGAACAGGAUCACAAAAGUCCUCGGCUCUCCUCGAUGGGCAUUCUGAAGAGUCAAAAGCUGCUGAGCUAGCCACCUUCCCUCUUCCAGGUCUAUCAUUAGUGCCAGUCAUGGAAGUCAGCUUGGAUUUGGGGUCAGAAUUUGACUUUUAGUACAACAUAAUUGUUUCUUGCCAAGAGUGUCAUUUAUUUUAGUCUUAAUCAAGCUUCAUAAAUAAACUUUCUUUUAAGUCUUGCUUGAACAAAUAAACCUUUAGAUUCUUUGAAAACUAUGAUAGAUUGCAUGGUUGGAGUGUGGGCUCUUCCUGAGAAAGAUAAUGAAAAGCUUGCUUUUUUUCCCCCAUGUAUAUCAAAGCACAAAUCUAGAUGUGGCUUCCUAACAAUCAAUAUAUAAAUUGUUAAGACUUGAACCAUAUUUUAUGCAUGUUAGUAUUGAAUAACAAAACAAAAACCACACAAUAAAUAAAAAACAAAACAAAAAAAUCAAUAGUCAUUGUUUAUAUUUGAGUAUUAUACAGAGAAAAAUAGGAGGAAACCAGAUUUUAUUUAUCAAACAUUUUAAUCCUUAUAAUAACCCUGCAACAUGUGUACUAUUAUUCCCAUUUUCAGAUAUAAAAUGUUAAACAAUUUUUCCAAGAAUUCAGACUAGUUAUUUCUGAUCCCAAAGUCUAGUUUUUAUUUAGUGGUUUUUGUUUUGUUACCAUACAGGCAUUGUAGGAGAAAUUUAUCAUGGUCCUACCUACCCCCUGCCCCGACAGGGACGUGGCAAUCACAUAUUUCUGUUUUCCUGUAUUCAUGUUGAACCAUUAAUGGUGGGCAAUAAAGACCCCCAGAGACAUCCAUUUCUAAUCCCUGGAACCUGUGAAUAUGUUAGAUAAUGUUGCUAUGGUGAAUUAGUUUGCUGACAGAAUUAAGGUUGCUAAUCAGCUGACUUUAAAAGAGAUAUUAAAUAUUUGUCUGGAUUACCUGAUUGGGUUUGGUGUAAUCACAAGGUUUUUUUUUUAAGUAGAAGAGAGAGAUAUGACUAUAGACGAAUGUUUAGAGAGAUGCAAUGUGGCUGGCUGUGAAGACAUAGGAAGUGGGCAAUGAGCCAAGAAAUGUGGGAGGCCUUUAGAAGCUGAAAAAGGCAAGGAAAUGAAUUUUCUCCAAGAGCUCCAGAAAAAGAGUAUGGGGAAACCAAGAAACUGAGAAUCAAAGAGGUUAAAUGACUUAAGAAAGAUUUCACCUCUAGUUAGAGGCAGAGACAAAUCUAGAAUUUUUCCUGAUUCUGAGUGCAAUGCACUUUCCUGACCUUCACUCAACCUGAGUUUGAUCUUACAGAGGAAGUCUUUGAAGACCUGCUGGGACAAUUGUUUGUUUCCCACAGAAUUCUGCGGCUAGCUCUAUUUCCUUAAUCCUGAAAUUCCAGCUCAGUACUUAUUUUCCAAACCUGUCACCAUUAACUUGAUUUUCUUCCUUUCCUCUUCCUUGCUCCCCAUCAUAUGUAAACUCUGAUUUAUAUCUGACCAGGAAACACACUCAAAAUAUAUUUCUCAAGUGUUUACCCAAUGGUGCCCCAGGCAAUACCAAUAAUGAUGAGCUAAACAAUCAUAUAUUAUUGUCUGUGAAUAUUUACUUUGUGACAGAGUCCUAAUCCUCUCCCAAAUGGUUAGCAAAUUCACUGAAAUUAUUUACUGGAAGAAUUCUAAUUUUUCAAAUAAUUCUUCUUUAUCUAAGUCCCACAAUUAUCUUCUCUUAUCCAGCUUCCCCCAAGCCCCACUUCAGACCUUACUUACUGAAUUUUUUCUAGCUCUUUAACCUCUCUGUAGUACUUCAUCCCUUAAUGCUUUUGUUCUUACUGAUUAUUUUCUCCUAAAAUAUAUCCAUCAUCCUAUUUGUUUAUACAUUUAUUAUAGAAUGCAUUUUCUAAACACUUGUGUUAGGAAUGAGGCUAGGUGCUGGUGUGGUCAUCAGCAAAGUACACAGUCCAUGAACUCAUAGCAGGUAGGAUACAGACAAAUGAAAUGGCAAUUAUAAAAGCACAUGAAAUAAGUGCAACAAUUAGAUAAGUGUAGAUACGUUGUUGGGAGAAACACCUAAGACGGCCUUUGUGGAGGGAAUCUGUUUGUGUGUGAAAUCAUGGCUUGUCCAUCAUUGUAUUGGCUGGGAUUGAUGAGCAAAUGAUAUGUAAUACACACUCAAUAAAUGUUGGUAGAACUAAUAAGAAUGAUCUGUGGUGAAAUGACUCCUGAGACAGUGACUAUGUUCUCUUUACUUCCAGGUCACUUUGCAUCGUAAACACUUAAUGUCUCUCUAGAUAGAAUUAAUCAGAGAGUGGUAGAAACUAUUAACACCUGGAUACUUCAGUUUUAUAAACUAAAAGCUUUUGAGUUAUUUUACCCAUUGAAUGAUCUUUAUUGCCUGCUCAGACUGAGUAAAUUCAAGCACCUGAAGGAUAAAUGAAAGUUUAUCCUUUAGAUAUAACAGGUUUGCAUCCUGGCUCUGCCAUUUAUGAGUAUUGACUUGAGGUUCAUUAAUUAAGCCCUCUAAGCCCUAGCUGUUAAACGGGCAUAAUCAGGAUACGUUGAAGGAAUUAAAAGUAAUAACAUGCAAAGGAACUGAAACAGUGACUGCUACACAGUAAACACUCAAUAAAUGUUAAUCCUCUUUGCAUCCUCCUCUAAACCUUUGAUAAUAUAUAUUUAGCAUAAUAUUUUGGAAUAUCUGAAAGUAAAUGAAAUUAUGCACAAGUAAUUGAAUUUCUAUUCAUAUUUUUGCAUAGUAGUUACUAUCUGGAUACUAGGCUGAAAAGAAUAAAAAAUUGGAACUCUUUAAGUAAAUGCGCUUUUCUGUCUCUUAUAUACAUCCAGUUGGCUAUUGAAACAACAUGGGAGAAAGGCAGGCAGAAGCAAGAUACCCCAUCCACUUACCUUAUUUUUUCUCUACAUGAAAUAAAUGAUUUAUAUUGAGUUUCUGGAUUUUUAAAGUUACCUUUUUUUGUUUUUUUCCUGGAGUCUCACUCUGUUGCCC
rnacentral:lncRNA from 1 species